CUGCUUAGCUUACUGGGAUGGAUUGUUAUGGCGCUUGUAGGUGCGUAUGCGCAUGCGCGGGAGCGGCAAAAAUGGCGUCACCCGACCACCCGACGUCUAGUGUCAGAGCUGUUCUCCCGGAUCAGCAAUCGCGCACCCGUCCUUCGUCUUCGGCUUCCAUCCACUCCCCGCUUUUACACAGUCCGUGACCAAGCCCCAGGCAGCACCUCCCUCCUGAGUUUAGUCUCAGAUGCGGCUGUUUUUCCUGACGCCUUGCUUGUGAGGGACUGUGGCUUUGACCUGUUCUGCCCGUCUGCAGGAGGGUCUCGCCGAGCAAUGGCGGGGUGCCAGCAACGCUUGCUGGACCCUGCUGCUGCCGAUGCCCAGAGAGUGAGGCCAGGUGCCAGCCCGCCCCAGAAAAAGUUCGCGAGAUAGUGUAGCAGCAGCGCCUCAGGGACUAUGGAAAAUCACAACACACAUCUGGCACCAGGCUUCUUCACCCUUAACGACCUUGUUCCAGUACCAGCGAAUGUGGUGGUUCUCCCAGGUCCACUGGGGCCUUGCCUUUGGGGGACCCACACAGCUUCUACCAGGUGUUCUCCCGGCAGGGGAACCGCCUCUCUCCGUGUGGCCCGAAGACCUCCGGACCCCACUCUGCUCCCGGGGAUUCGCCCUUCCCACCAGAGCACCACCAGGCGAGGACACCAGGUCUCAGCUGGCAAGGGAGCCUCACCCCAGGAAGCAGCUGUUGGCAAGGCGCGCUCUCCUGCUUGGGUGAAGGGAGAGUGCGUGGCAGCGGAUGUGGGUACUUCCUUGGAGGUCUUAGCACCAGCACCAGUGGAUGGCUGUGGCGUAAACUACCUGAGAUUCCGAGGCAGAAGCUCUGCGGAGGGUCCACACAACUGUAUGUUCACCAGGCUCCUAGGGGAUCUGAUUAUCAGCCGGGUGUGUGGGUACACUGCCCAAGAGAGGUGGUAUUCAACCUUGGUUGCACAUUAAAAUCAUUUGGGGGACUUAAAAAAAUCCCUCUACUCAAGCCCAAGCCACUGAAAUCAGAAUCUGUGGAGGUGAGAGAUUGAUAUCAGUAGUUUAAUAACCUAAUAAGGUAAUUUCAACCAGCAAGCAAUCCUGAGAACCUCUGCUAGGGCUUUCUGACCCUCAUCAAACCCCGCUGAGAAUAAAAAUAUUAUCUGAGCAGUGCACUUCUGAGAGAAUUUACUUUGUAUAAAAGUCAAAACCUUAAAGCAAAGGAAUAAAUCACUAACUGCUGCUGGUAGGAAAGGACUCAAUUUGGGCAGAGUAGCUUUCUCUUUAGCAUCUCUGUCGAAACUUCUGUCAUUUUGCAAAUGUCCUAUCUCUCUUCUGUCCCUGGAUUAAACCUAAAAUGGUCUCUCUGUUUAGAAAUCUGUGUUGGGUUGGGGCACCUGGGUGGCUCAGUCCGUUAAGCAUCUGACUUCGUCUCGGGUCAUGAUCUCAUGGUUCAUGAGUUUGAGCCCCACUAUGGGUGAGCUUCUCUCUCUCCCUCUCUCUCCCUCUCUGUCUUGCCCUCGCUCACUUGCUCCCUCUCUCUCAAAGGAGAAGAGAAGAGAAGAAAAGAAAAGAAAAGAAAGAAAAGAGAAAAGAAAAGAAGUCUCUGUGUUGGGUGAAAUGACUUCAGCAGAAUCUGUUCUCAUGUGUGGCCUCCCCUAAAUGUGUUCUGCAGGCAAACAUUAGGGGAAGGGGAAGGAUGCUGGGGGGCUAGUUGUCUCAAGGCAACCAUACUUUCCUUGCUUUUGCAUUGGACUCAAACCUCAGGCCUGGUCAUUCUUCCUCUUCCUCUGUCUGUCUGUCUGUCUGUCUCUUUGUCUCUCUCUCCCUCCUCUUCCAUUUAUUUCCCUGGGGAAUGAGCUGAUGAGCUUGCCCUUCAGUGUUGAAUUCCAGAGAAAGAUAAGCCAGGCAGUUGGGUGUGGAAUGCCAGGAAGGGGCAGUGGCUGGUUCUACCCCCACCCGCUACCUUAAAGCUGGGCUCCUGCCAGGGACAGAGAUUUCUUCCAGAGUCCUGGUCUUCAAUUUCUGCCUCCUGACUGCCAGAGGUGGUAGGAAGUCUUGAAGUGUUAACUCCAACUGGAAGUAGCUUAAUGCUAGGAAUGUGUGCUAUUUUCUCCCGGGACAUUUCCAGGAAUGAAGGAAAACGCAGGACAAGGAAGCCAGAAGAGUGAGUCACCCAGAAUAUAAUCUUCCAUGUUAAA